GCCCCCGUGGUGGAACUGGUAAACACAUCGGUCUUUAAAACCGACGCCUCGCACGGGCUUGUGGGUUCGAAUCCCACCGGGGGCAC
rnacentral:tRNA from 1 species